UCCGAAUUGGUCUAGUGGCUAGGAUUUCUCGCUCUCACGGUCUCACGACCAAGCGCCGAGGAGGCCGGGGUUCAAUUCCCCGAUUCGGAG